rnacentral:rRNA from 1 species
UACAGAGGUCUCAAGCGUUGUUCGGAUUCAUUGGGCGUAAAGGGUGUGUAGGUGGCGCCGUAAGUCGGGUGUGAAAUUUCGGAGCUUAACUCCGAAACUGCAUUCGAUACUGCGGUGCUUGAGGACUGGAGAAGAGGCUGGAAUUCAUGGUGUAGCAGUGAAAUGCGUAGAGAUCAUGAGGAAGACCAGUGGCGAAGGCGGGUCUCUGGACAGUUCCUGACACUGAGACACGAAGGCCAGGGGAGCAAACGGG